rnacentral:siRNA from 1 species
AUUGGACACAUCGUUGCUUACU